GAGGGGCAGCAUGGUCUUAGCUUGCUAAGGCUGAUGGCGACCGGCGCACGGGUGAGUAACACGUAUCCAACCUGCCGUCUACUCUUGGCCAGCCUUCUGAAAGGAAGAUUAAUCCAGGAUGGCAUCAUGAGUUCACAUGUCCGCAUGAUUAAAGGUAUUUUCCGGUAGACGAUGGGGAUGCGUUCCAUUAGAUAGUAGGCGGGGUAACGGCCCACCUAGUCAACGAUGGAUAGGGGUUCUGAGAGGAAGGUCCCCCACAUUGGAACUGAGACACGGUCCAAACUCCUACGGGAGGCAGCAGUGAGGAAUAUUGGUCAAUGGGCGAUGGCCUGAACCAGCCAAGUAGCGUGAAGGAUGACUGCCCUAUGGGUUGUAAACUUCUUUUAUAAAGGAAUAAAGUCGGGUAUGCAUACCCGUUUGCAUGUACUUUAUGAAUAAGGAUCGGCUAACUCCGUGCCAGCAGCCGCGGUAAUACGGAGGAUCCGAGCGUUAUCCGGAUUUAUUGGGUUUAAAGGGAGCGUAGAUGGAUGUUUAAGUCAGUUGUGAAAGUUUGCGGCUCAACCGUAAAAUUGCAGUUGAUACUGGAUGUCUUGAGUGCAGUUGAGGCAGGCGGAAUUCGUGGUGUAGCGGUGAAAUGCUUAGAUAUCACGAAGAACUCCGAUUGCGAAGGCAGCCUGCUAAGCUGCAACUGACAUU
rnacentral:rRNA from 1 species